AAGUUGUUUGUAAACAACUAGGAUACAGCCAAGAUGGAGAGGGAUCAAUAUUUAGAUAUUCUAAAUUUGGUGAUGGAGACUAUCAACAAUUUUUAUGGAAUAUUCAGUGUACUGGAUCAGAAACUAACUUGGCAUCUUGUAAUAAUUACCACAGUGAUAAUUGCUAUUAUGGACGCACUGUUGGCAUCAAGUGUUACAAUACAAGUAAUUGCACUGAUGGUGAAAUCAAGUUGUAUGGGGGACAGUCUAAUGCUGAAGGAGAUC